rnacentral:lncRNA from 1 species
UCAUGUUUGACAUUUUCCAUAGAUGUUUUUUCAUUGUAUGACCAGUGCAUUUCUUAUAAGUGUCAAACUUGAUAGUAAGUGACUAAAGUUUGGUCAAGGAUGUAGCACCAAAUAUUUAUUGCUAAUGCAGAGCACAUGUCCUUAGCUAGGUCAUACUUUUUGAACUCUCUCAUGAUGUCAUUUUCCACGCUGCUCAGUAACGUAAUGCGAGGGAGAGAGUUUUUUUUCU